rnacentral:lncRNA from 1 species
UUUUUCUUCCCAACACAGACAUCUGAGGACAAAGCACUGGGCAAUGGAGACCACACAGACAACCUGAGUCCAUCUAAGUUUAUAUUCUCCAUACUGUAGCCAGUACAAUGGCUAUUGGCUGCAAUGAGAUGAGUGACCAUGACUAUAUUUGGGGAAAGAGUUGACAUUUGAAAUGCAAUAACAAACUGAUGAGCAAGGGAUGGACAAAGCUUUGGGAACUUGAUGACCACUUCUGCUUUUUUGUAUAAAUGACCAUGAGCAGGCAUGUUAGUUUUUUUCAACCCAUUUCCCCAUUUGUAAGAAGAUAAUUAUCCCCCCCACUGGCCAUGUGCCAUUUCUUG